rnacentral:rRNA from 2 species
GGGAUUGCCUCAGUAACGGCGAGUGAAGCGGCAACAGCUCAAAUUUGAAAUCUGGCCCUAGGCCCGAGUUGUAAUUUGCAGAGGAUGUUUCUGGCGAGGUGCCUUCCGAGUUCCCUGGAACGGGACGCCAUAGAGGGUGAGAGCCCCGUACGGUUGGUCGCUAAGCCUCUGUGAAACUCCUUCGACGAGUCGAGUAGUUUGGGAAUGCUGCUCUAAAUGGGAGGUAUACGUCUUCUAAAGCUAAAUACCGGCUAGAGACCGAUAGCGCACAAGUAGAGUGAUCGAAAGAUGAAAAGCACUUUGAAAAGAGGGUUAAAUAGUACGUGAAAUUGUUGAAAGGGAAGCGCUUAUGACCAGACUUGGGCCGGUUGAUCAUCCAUCGUUCUCGGUGGUGCACUCUGCCGGCUCAGGCCAGCAUCAGUUUGGCCCGGGGGAUAAAGGUUUCGGGAAUGUGGCUUCCUUCGGGGAGUGUUAUAGCCCGUUGCGUAAUACCCUGGGCUGGACUGAGGUACGCGUUCUGCAAGGAUGCUGGCGUAAUGGUCAUCAGUGACCCGUCUU